rnacentral:rRNA from 1 species
GAUGAACGCUGGCGGCGUGCCUAAUACAUGCCAGUCGAGCGAACAGAUGAGGAGCUUGCUCCUCUGACGUUAGCGGCGGACGGGUGAGUAACACGUGGAUAACCUACCUAUAAGACUGGGAUAACUUCGGGAAACCGGAGCUAAUACCGGAUAAUAUAUUGAACCGCAUGGUUCAAUAGUGAAAGACGGUUUUGCUGUCACUUAUAGAUGGAUCCGCGCCGCAUUAGCUAGUUGGUAAGGUAACGGCUUACCAAGGCAACAAUGCGUAGCCGACCUGAGAGGGUGAUCGGCCACACUGGAACUGAGACACGGUCCAGACUCCUACGGGAGGCAGCAGUAGGGAAUCUUCCGCAACGGGCGAAAGCCUGACGGAGCAACGCCGCGUGAGUGAUGAAGGUCUUCGGAUCGUAAAACUCUGUUAUUAGGGAAGAACAAAUGUGUAAGUAACUAUGCACGUCUUGACGGUACCUAAUCAGAAAGCCACGGCUAACUACGUG